rnacentral:rRNA from 1 species
AGAUUGAACGCUGGCGGCAUGCCUUACACAUGCAAGUCGAACGGUAACAGGUCUUCGGAUGCUGACGAGUGGCGAACGGGUGAGUAAUACAUCGGAACGUGCCCGAUCGUGGGGGAUAACGGAGCGAAAGCUUUGCUAAUACCGCAUACGAUCUACGGAUGAAAGCAGGGGACCCGCAAGGGCCUUGCGCGGACGGAGCGGCCGAUGGCAGAUUAGGUAGUUGGUGGGAUAAAAGCUUACCAAGCCGACGAUCUGUAGCUGGUCUGAGAGGACCGACCAGCCACACGUGGGACUGAGACACCGGCCCAGACCUCCGUACGGGAGGCAGCGAGGUGGGUAAUUUGGACAAGUGGGACGAAAGCCUAGACUCCGAGCCAGUCGCCGCGUGCGAAGGAU